UACGUAGGGCGCAAGCGUUGUCCGGAAUUAUUGGGCGUAAAGAGCUCGUAGGCGGCUUGUCACGUCGAUUGUGAAAGCCCGAGGCUUAACCUCGGGUCUGCAGUCGAUACGGGCUAGCUAGAGUGUGGUAGGGGAGAUCGGAAUUCCUGGUGUAGCGGUGAAAUGCGCAGAUAUCAGGAAGAACACCCGUGGCGAAGGCGGCUCUCUGGGACGUGACUGACGCUGAGACGCGAAAGCGUGGGGAGCGAACAGG
rnacentral:rRNA from 1 species